GCAACAACAGCUAUAGCAAUAACAUUGGAUAUCUUGUACAUGGUGAAAGAGUAAACGACAAAACAACAACAGCUAUAGCAAUAACAUGGAUGGAUACUUUUUUUUUAUAACAAAGGAAACCCGCAGCCGCCACCCUUUGGGUGCGCACAAGCUAACAUGGAUGGAUAUCUUGUAUUCAAUGAAAAGUUAACCGCAGCAAACAACAGCAAGAAGUAUGUCAUAAUACCAGGCAAGUUGGAUUGUGAAGAGUUGACAAGUUGCUCGAAAGACCACAGGAUGUGACAAUGUCAGUUAUAAGGGUGACAAAUAUGUCAGGACACCAUUGAUGGUGGGAUAGCAGGUGUCCGUGGAAUAGUUGAGGUGUGCACACGCUAUAGCAUGAACGCCAUCGUUGGGAAAAAUGUCAGGACACCAAUUCUCUUGCUUUCAAGGCAGACAAUUUUGGCUUCUUGAUAGACAAUAACCUUGGUGAUAUAGUGAAGAGUAGAUGGAUGGCAGCUUAGUUAACGUUAUUGGUACGUUUUGGUGAACUUUGAGGUGUAAGAUAAAAUCUCUACAUCACCUUCUUAUGCUUCACAAGUCUUUCAUUUCUAGCAGUUGUGCUUAGUAGUAGCUUGUGAAGAAUGUAAAACUUCUAGGUCGGGUUCCAGAUAAGUCUGUUUUUAGCAAAUCCUAGUACAAGACAGUAGCAUUAUGAGAAUCUGAUGAUUCUCUUUUACAUCAAGUACUUUGGUAUAUGUACUAUAUGUUCUUUAGGGUCUUUACAUAUGCACUAACGGUAGUUCAUGAAGCUUGAAACUGUUGUUGUACUAUAUUAACACUA